rnacentral:rRNA from 1 species
UACGUAGGGUGCAAGCGUUGUCCGGAAUUAUUGGGCGUAAAGAGCUCGUAGGCGGCUUGUCACGUCUGCUGUGAAAACUCGGGGCUCAACCCCGAGCCUGCAGUGGAUACGGGCUAGCUAGAGUGCGGUAGGGGAGACUGGAAUUCCUGGUGUAGCGGUGAAAUGCGCAGAUAUCAGGAGGAACACCGGUGGCGAAGGCGGGUCUCUGGGCCGAUACUGACGCUGAGGAGCGAAAGCAUGGGUAGCGAACAGG